GCGGGAUGUCGGGCCGGCCGCGCGCGUUGACGAUGAAGGACAGGCGCACCUCCUGGUCCGCCGCGUACCCGAGCGCGGCGGUGCGGCUGCGCCAGAUGCACGCGGCGACGAGCUCGAAGCGGGAGCAGCGCGCGCCGGGCGGGGCGCGCUGCCGCAGCCCCGCGAUCUCCCUGGGCCCGAAGAAGAAGGGGACGCGCGCCAUGUCGGCGGGCGCGGUGCACAGCAUCCGGUCUGCGGGCCCGCCCGCGGGCUCGCGGUACUCGAGGUGCGGGUACGCGGGCCGCGGCGGGUCGCGCGCCAUGAACAUCUCCCUGCCCCAGGCCGGCGCCACGGACGGCGCGGCCGCGCCGCACGCGACCUCGCACACGGCCUUCUCGAACUGCAUGCCGCCCGGGGCGUCCACGACGCAGUGGCAGAAGCGCUGGCCGAAGAUGAACCCGCCGCACCUGAGGCGCGUGACCUGGACGUACAGCAGGGGGCGGUCGACCACGGGCUCGACGCCGGCCACGGUGGUGCUCUCCAGGAUGAACUGCUCGAAGCACGGGAACGGCGGGCUCUGCACGUCCCCGAAGUCGGCGGCGGUGAGGCCGUCGGCGUCGGCUUCCGCGAACAUGACGCCCUGCGCGGCGCAGUCCACCACGAGCUUCCUUCCUUCCACCUCGCGGAGGCGGCCGGCGAGAGGGUAGUAGGGGACGAGCGCCCGGGCCAGCGCGUCGCGGAUGACCCUGGCCGGGUCCUGCCCGGCCUUGGCCGGGUUGGCGCGGUACAGGUGGAUCCCGGAGCUGUAGAAGCGCAUGCCCUCGGCGUCGUCGAUGUCCGACAGCGGCUUCGUCUCCCGCGGCGUCGGCCCCGCCGGCGCCACCAGCACCGGGUCCCCGCGCCGCACCGUGAACGCCGGGAGCGACGAUGCCAUUGCCUUGUUCGCUCGUACGUACGUGGUCAGAGUGACUCAGAGAGCUGAGCCGAGCUGAGUGAGUGCGGUGCGUGACUUGAUGAGCUCAGUGGAG
rnacentral:misc_RNA from 1 species